AGUGGUAGAGUGCUAGCCUUAAGAAAAAAAGUUAAUGGACAGUGCCCAGGCCCCGAGUUCAAACUCUACUUCUCCCCAUGCAUACACGUGUACGUGUGUGGGGUGCAUACGCGCACACACACACACACACACACAGAUACGUUCAUGAAUGCCCAAUGGAUACUAAUAGUUUGUGUAUAGGAAGACUCCUAUCAGUAGCUACUUGAUGGGCAGCGUUGAAAUAAUCUGAUAAAUCUUAUCUCUCCACUUUCAACACUACAGCUAAAUAGUGAUACAGUAUUUCAAAGACUAGAAAUCCUAUGAAAAGUGAAUCCUCUGCACUUUGUACCUGUCUAUCACUUUGCUUCUGGAUAAGGAGAGUUGUUCUCAGCCCCUGGCCUCCUGAUCUGGAGCAAAUGCUAAUGGAAAGUCUCCUGCCAGAAGACUCCCCUGUGGUCCAAGGAAUGUAAGAGCAGAGCCAGCUUUUAUUGUUUUCCUACUUGGCUCUUCCACCACCAUCCCUCCACCACAGCCGUUAAUUACAGUCCUUUUUCUGUGAGCUGCUUCAUGUUUAUACUGAUGACUAUGCAAUACAUGACCUACCACAAGGACUUUGCUCUAAGUGGUAUUUGAUGAUCAUACCUAAAACUUCCCUGUUCACACCAAGUCCUCAUGUUGUGUUCUUCAUACAGCUUUACUCCACACAAUAUUUUUUAUUAUCAGAACCAUUUUUCUCCAUAAACUAAACCCAAACAGAUUUCAGAUAUCAGAUUAGAUUCAGUGUAAAUAUAAGGAGAAAAGAUUACUAGAAAAAAAAUUCCCCUACAGAAGAAUAAUGAAGGAAUAGUAAAGAAAUUAUUCUGUCUUGAGAGAGAUCCCAGCCUCAGGGGUAGACCAGCACAAGUCUACCCUUCUUGAUUGAAACGUAGUGCUGGCAACAGGUGUACAUGCAAAGCCACUAGUGAUCCUGGCUGCCAGUGAAUUUGGCAGCCAAGUGGUGAUGAGGCUUAGUCAAGCUGUUGAAAUGUCUGGACUAAAAGUGGGCCGAAGGGAUAAAGUCAGAGGGCAGACAGCAGACAACCCGAGGGAGAUGGCUUUUCUCUGGCCUUGGCAGCAGUCCUCGUAUAGUGUCAGAAAAUAAAUAUCAUGCUUUGAAAACGCCCAUGUAAAAUAUUAGAAAGUCACUUUCACACUUACCAUCCAUUGUAAGUAGACCAUGUGGAUUAGCUUGCCUUCAGUGCAUGGUCCCCUCAAAUGCCUAGAACUCAGAAUCACAGAAAAGACAACUCAGCUAUGUUCCAAUUAUCUAGUGAUGAUAUUUCAAGAAUACUGUUCAUGGUUAAAAAUAGCAGCAUACUAACUGUGGUUUUCUCCUGGCUAUUUCUGCAGUCAUUAUAAGACUGAAUAGACAUCUCAAUACACUCCAUAUAGCACAGAUGAAAUAGAUAUUAUAUAUAAUGUAGGGAAGUGAAACAUGUUCUAUUCAUUGCAAAACGGGAAGGAAAAAAAAACAGUACGACUAGCAGUUUGUUUCCAUAAUGAUUCCUUUGCUCAACAGAAUUCUACUGAGUUGAUGUUUCUUGACUCUUACUAUAAAAGUUGAUGGGCCAGGCACUGGUGGCUCACACCACCUCCAGAUCAGAGUUCAAAACCAUUCUAGGCAAGAAAGGCGGUAAGACUUUAUCUCU